rnacentral:rRNA from 1 species
AUUGAACGCUGGCGGCAUGCUUUACACAUGCAUGUCGAACGGUAACAGGUCUUCGGAUGCUGACGAGUGGCGAACGGGUGAGUAAUACAUCGGAACGUGCCUAGUAGUGGGGGAUAACUACUCGAAAGAGUAGCUAAUACCGCAUGAGAUCUACGGAUGAAAGCAGGGGACCUUCGGGCCUUGUGCUACUAGAGCGGCUGAUGGCAGAUUAGGUAGUUGGUGGGGUAAAGGCUUACCAAGCCUGCGAUCUGUAGCUGGUCUGAGAGGACGACCAGCCACACUGGGACUGAGACACGGCCCAGACUCCUACGGGAGGCAGCAGUGGGGAAUUUUGGACAAUGGGCGAAAGCCUGAUCCAGCAAUGCCGCGUGCAGGAUGAAGGCCCUCGGGUUGUAAACUGCUUUUGUACGGAACGAAAAGCCUGGGGCUAAUAUCCCCGGGUCAUGACGGUACCGUAAGAAUAAGCACCGGCUAACUACGUG